ACCACGACGUUUUCAAAUAUACUUCCCAGAAAAAGGACCAAAAAGGAAGCUGCCCUAUCUGUUAUGCCGGCGGUCCAAGAGGAAGCGAACAAGAGGUUAUGGUGGUGGUAGAGGAGGAGGAGGAAAAGGAGGAGGUAUAGUAGGAAGAUAAAAAUCUAACUGCUGAGCCAGCU